rnacentral:misc_RNA from 1 species
CGGGCAAGGGCAGCUGCAGCAUGCUGGUAUACUGCUAAAUCCUCCUGUUUUGCAGAUGCCAUUCUUGUUGAAAUCACUUCCUCAAGAACAGACAUUGCACCAUAACCAAUACACAAGUCACAUAAAUCAUCAAUAGUCCCAUAAUCAGUAGCUAAAGGAUCAGGUCUUUGAGGUGAUGAAGAUGAAGCUACUACUCCCAUGGCUGAAGGUUGAGGUGGCGGAGGAAUAGCACUUGGAGGAAAGAACAACAUGCAGGCAUCAGUAUAGUGACCAUGACUGAACAUAAAUCCAAGCAAAUGCUGACGAGUAUAUUCUUGUAAGUAAUUAACACACUCAACAUAACGAACACUGUCCAGAUUGCUGCGAGGUCCAUCUUCAAAGUCAGAGUUAUAUGCUGAAUUAUUGUUUUUAGAUUCUUGAGAUGGCCUGGAUCUUUCUGAACGUGGAAAUGUAGAUGGCAUGUACAGAACAUUGAGAUAUGAAUCAGCAGAAAGUGAAUCAUCCAAGAUUGUUGGAGCACUUCUAGCCAAAUGUUCAUACAUAGAACGAACAGCCGACACAUCUACUGGUGGGCCCCCUUCAAUUGUAUUAAUGAUCUCUAGAAUUACAGGUGCUGGGUCCCCCUUGUACAAUUGAAGAGCUUGCUUGAACUUUACACGAGCUUGCGCAUAGUGCUCCAUCCUAAUCAAAGCAUGUCCCCAUGCAUUCNNNNNNNNNNAAAACAUAAAUCUCACGCUUCUUGCAGGUGUAUACAGCCAUACUGUACCGUUCAUCAACAGUCAACCUGUCACGGAGACGGGCAGAUGACUCUUUAUCAG